rnacentral:rRNA from 1 species
AGCAGCCGCGGUAAUUCCAGCUCCAAUAGCGUAUAUUAAAGUUGCUGCAGUUAAAAAGCUCGUAGUUGAAUUUCGGGACCAAUUUGUCGGUCGUGCCUCGGUACGCACUGGCUUAUUGGUUUCUCCCUUCUGAAGAACCAUGAUGUCAUUUAUUUGGUGUCGUGGGGAAUCAGGACUGUUACUUUGAAAAAAUUAGAGUGUUUAAAGCAGGCUCACGCUUGAAUACAUUAGCAUGGAAUAAUGAAAUAGGACGUUUGAUUCUAUUUUGUUGGUUUCUAGGAUCGACGUAAUGAUUAAUAGGGAUAGUUGGGGGCAUUAGUAUUCAAUUGUCAGAGGUGAAAUUCUUGGAUUUAUUGAAGACUAACUACUGCGAAAGCAUUUGCCAAGGAUGUUUUCAUUAAUCAAGAACGAAAGUUAGGGGAUCGAAGACGAUCAGAUACCGUCGUAGUCUUAACCAUAAACUAUGCCGACUAGGGAUCGGAUGAUGUUAAUUUUUAAUGUACUCAUUCGGCGCCUUAAC